CUUUUUUUUUUUUCUUUUUUUCUUUUAAUCUUGUGGAAGCCAUAUAGCUUUAUCCCCUAUUUUGUGUAACCUUGAAGAAAUUACAUCUUUUGUUAGCAUGCACUGUGACAUCAUUUCAGUAAUUUUAUAUGGUUUUAUAAUAAUAAAUAAAUAAGUUUCCCUUAUAGCCCCUCUAUAUUUUAAUGAAAUGCAUUCUAUAAUGUCAUCCUAUCAAUUUUACCUUUAUAUACAUACAGAGGUUUCAGGCAAUUAUUUAGUACUUGAGGUUUUAGGCAAUUGUUUGCUACUCUGUUUUAGCUGCUGUCUCGUCAGAUUUGAAGGAAUUGUUCAUGGUUUUCAAUUGGCUUGUGGCAUCCUUGAUGCUACCCUUUGUGGGAGGUUUGAAGAUCAAGAUCCACCAAGUUCUUUCACUCCUAUUGAUGGUUUACAGCUGGUGCCAUUUACAGCUUUCUAUUUUUAGUGGGCAAGUUUGUGUUGCGCCGUUAUCUUUUGAGUUGAUGAAUAAGUUACAAACGGUCUGUACUUUUCUCACCAGAACAAAGGAAUACACUUAAACGAUGUCCACGAGUAAUGAUAUACACCUGAUGCAAAGUUCUAGUUGGCAAUCUCCACCUCCCAAGAUUUCAUGGAAAGUUUUUGCAUCUUGGCUUUAGUCUUCGUGAUGAUCUUAAGGAGCCAAAGCCUGUAUCUGUAUACUUGCUCUGAGGUUUGAGCCUUAGACUGAUCACUGGUGCAAUCAUUUCAGACUUGGCCAGCUGAGAUGACAGAAAGCAAUUCAUCGCAUGGAAGGAUCGAGCUCAGACUGUUGUUGUAUGGAUUUUGUUGGAAAUCUUCAAGAGCUGUGCAUGUGUCACUCGAGAAACUGAAAGUAAACAAUUUCCUUUUGAUUGUUACACUUAAACUUGUCUUUCCAUCAGUUUCUUAGUUUUCAGAACACAAAAUCUAGUGGAGAAAAGAGGACAAAGGCUUACUUUUCCAGGAAAAAAUAUAUCCCAAAGAACAACCAGCACAGAAAUGUUAGGAACCAGCAGAACACAAUGAGCCUGUGAACAUGAAAAAAGCAAUUGCAUCAGAAUUAUAUCCCCAAAUACUUGGAGCAUUUGAAUGGUCUGAAAUGGUUCAGUUUACUUACCAGUAGAGUGCCCUCCUGAACUUCAGAAACCCAGAAACUGCAGUAUGAGGAAAUUUUGGGUUUUGAUUAGAUUUUAAUGUUGAUAUUGAACUGAACACCUAUAAAUGCAGACUGAUUAGGAGGCAAUGCACAAACCUGAGAGGGCAAUGACAGCAACCAGGUUCAAGGAAAUGGUCACAGUAGUUAUUAUAUACACUAUCUUCAGGCCCUUGUCAAUCAACCGCCUAUUCUUCCUAGCUUGUCUCUCUAUACCUGCAGCUUCAACAUCGAGUUUAUCUGAUGUGGAGGUGAGGAAGUUAGAAGCUUCAGCACCUACAUCAGUUGUUUCUAAAUUCUGUCUUAUGUUUCUCAUUGCCCCUGUUGUGUUAUAGAUGGUUCCCGAUGCCUUAUUCGCUGUUUCCAUGAUGAUAUCCACCACCGUUCGAGCUCUGGAAUGGAAUUUUGCAUUCCCUCCAAGAACCAAUCCGGACGCCACUCUGCAAACAAAUCAGGAUCAUAGAUCAUAAGCAGCCAAUGAUUUGUUCCUAAUCAACAUUCUAAUGUAUAUCUCCAUCCCCAUAUGUAACUUCAUUCAGAUUUAUUCAAAGAAAUACUUCACUAGAA